ACUGUUGUGGGUCAUGCUGUUGUGGUUGCAUAGGCAUGGAGACACCAGACAACAGUCCUUGAGACAUUUGCAAAGCCUGAGAAUUUGUCGGAGGGAGCAUCCUUGCAUUUGCAAGAACAUUCUGGGUUGAGUUCAUAGGUGCACUUCCAGCAUUCCCUUGUUUCGAUGCCUCAUUGGGCGCUUGUCCAGUAACUGCAUCCCCAUACUGUUGCAUUUCAUUUGCAGAGUUACCUCUUGGAACACCACCCGCAGAAUUCUGUUGACUGCUGCUUGGACCAGCAUCCCCGCGACUUGGCUUCUCCUGAAUAUGUUCAUCUAUGCGGUAUCCUUCACGGACCAUCUGCAUAAGCAUAUAAAUCAAUCUGUAAGUAGCUUUCCUCUUCGAACCAAGAUUUUGACAUAAUCGAUUCAUAAUUCGAGAAUUACCAGUGAUUUAAACUGAGCAGCAAGUAGAUCGGCGAUGUGCUGUAACAAAGUGACGACAAAUAAACAAGUCAGCGUAAGAGGAGAAUUAAUCAUCCUUUGUCCACCCCCUUUCGAUCAUGGAAGAGAAGUAGAAACAAACAGAAGCAACUAACAAGAGAGAUGUGUCCAUAAACCAACCAUGUUCAAAAUUACACAAAGCGUUCAGUGGCCCAACAACCAAUAAACAAUGAUGAAUGUAAUGUCAGCAUUACAUUCAUUGUUAGUGCAUGCAAGUUGAAGAUAUACUGCUGAUCGGAAAAAAAUGCAGUGGGUGUCAAGUUUCCAGUGAACUUACAGUAUUGGGCAAUCCUAACAUAUGAUCUUCAGCUGGAAAACCAUCACCAUCAUCUAUUUCCCCUUGAUACCAUGCUACUGUCCCGUCGACGGGCUUCUCUGACAUCACCAGUCUUGUUACUAUUUUAGGGACGGCGGCAGGCACAUUACCUGAAAAGAUGGAGUCGAGAGUCAAUAAAAAAAAGUAUCAAUCGCCAGGUAUCUGGUUAGAGCAGAAAACCGACCUUGCAUCACACGCUCCAUCCGAAGGAAGUUUAUGACUCUUGUCUUGCAUGUAUUCAUGCUGCCACCAAGAAUAGAUUUUGACAAGGCUUUCUCUUCGUCUUUGAAGUCCUCGUUGUUAGACAAGCCCGAAAAACAAACCAUCAGACGCUGAGGAACAUAAGAGCGAGGUCUUCGCGAGUACUCAUCCACCUUAUGCUUUUUGCAGUUUAGUUGGUACCUAAAAAUUCCAUGACAUACCGCAUAAGAAACUUGUUCAUGCAGUAACAAAUGCAUGCAAUGAGAUAAGGAGGGUGAGACAAUGGCGUGUGUCAAAGUCAAAACUAUAAAAGGCUAUUAUUUCUAUUACUUGUUUCUCAAUCAUAGCUGGCAUAUAGUUCAAAGCAAACCACUAGCCACAUGAAGAAGAAUUUAAUGGGUAUAACCUCAACAAAACAGGUUUGAAAAGAUUCAUACCUUGCAGCAACUCGUUCAAUCUUUGAGAAUCUGUCGAGGAUUGCGUGAUCGCCAGUAGUUUGGUUUCCCACUGGAGGACCAACAGCAUUGGCACUCACAGUAUUGACACUAACAGGAGAACCAACAGUGUUUAUAGCUUGUGUCAUAGGAUGAGAAUUUGUCCUCCGUUUUGCAACCAUUUGGUGUUGCCUUUGCUGCAUAGCAUCAUUAGGACUAGAACCCACUGACUGAGUAGCACCAAUAGCAGGAAUAGAAGUAACAGCCUUGUCCUUUUGAGCUGCUGCAACUGCUCCAUAGUGGGUCCCCAUUGAACCACCAGAAAACUCACCAGACUUCGAUGAAAGUGGGGACUGUGGUUGAGCGCCUGCUGAUAAACGAGGGCUUUGAGCCGAUAUCCUUCUACUGAACUGUUCUUCUUUUCUCAGAUCUUUUUCAAUCUUCUGGCCUGGGUUCACGUUCCAGGAUGCUUGAGAGAAAUUCGAUCUUAACAAUCCAUUAUGGGGCAUCCUUGACUGCAUACGCGGAUCCACAUUAUUUGCAUCGCUUCCCACCCCAGGCAUAUCAUUUCUGACACUACCAUCAAUUUUACUCUCAAAUGGCUCCUCUUUCGAAGUGUAACGCAAUGUCCCCUGUUGUGAAGCUGGAAACUGCAUGGGACCACCUUCCUGAUUCAUUACUCCUUCAAUUUGCUGUGGUGAAAACCUCUGAAGACUUGGAUUUGGAUAUUGACUACUUCUGCCUAGUAUAUCUUGUUGUAGAACCGCAUUUUUCCAAUUUGUAUCGGUUCCCUGAAUGCCAUCCAUGCGUUGCCCCGGCUGUUGCUGUGGAACCCCAUGAGGACCCAUGUGUGAAACCCUUGUCCGCUUAUUCGAACCAGGCAUAGAAGACUCUUGCGCUUCUUGACUUUGUCUCUUUCUUUGGAAAGAUGCACCUGGGUUCAUACUAUCAGAGCCAUAAGGCAACAUUGCAUCUAAACCUCCAGAGACACUGGCAGAAUUUGAUCCUUGAUCUUGCAUGUUUCUAAUAUGUCCAGUUCCCAGGUACCUUUGUUGCUGAGGUGGUACCAAAGGCAGUGAGGAAGUUGACGCAUCUUGCAAGGUCUGAUUUCUUAAUCCCACCAGCAUAUUAGUACCCGGAUUUUGAAUAGCCUGGUUGUUAUGGGUUUGAUGCAUUAACAAAUGUCCGGGCAUAUUUACACGCUCUGAACUUUCCGGAAGCCGAUCAAUGCAAACCUUUUUCCCAUGACUCUUGUUCAGAAACAUGACAGUCGCUUCUGUCAUUUGCAUCAGUCUCUUUCUCCGCAAAGUAGAAAGAGACAAAUCAAGCUAUGGAGCAUAAACAAAACCUUUUUAGACAUUAUAAAAGCAAAUGAUAAGGGAAAGCACACGUAGAAAUUUUAAUGAGCUAUUACCUUGGCGGUCUCAGGUUUUUUACUCAGCCUAUCAAGUCUGGGUACAGGAUCCAAACAAAGUUCAGGUUGUAUGGCUUUUAAUAUUCUUGAUUCCACUUCCUACAGUUAAUGAAAGGAUUAGUACAGAAAAGUUUCAGUGCUCAGAUAUUCGACUUGUAAUCCAAGAGUGACCGUGGUUACCAUGAGAUCACCAUAUGUCCAUGAGCUGUCCGACAUUGAUGGAAUAUCUUUUACCACAUUUUCAAGUGACAUCUUAAGGCGUACUUUAUUUAUCACAGGAGAGGCUUGCUCUGGGGUACGUUUCCGAUAGUCAUGCACCUACAAUAUCAUGUACCCAAAUGUUUUUUUUUUAAAACAUAAUUUUAUGUAAGAUGACACUUCAGCAAUGGAACAGAGAUAUGAUAAAACUCAUUUUAUGUUUUCUUCUGAUUCCAAUUACUCCAGCGUGUUUCCAAAGCUCAUAUUAAACAUAAUAGGAGCAAUCAACAGACAAUCAAAUAGCUGAUCUGCCUCGAAAGGAAAAAAGAAGAAGGAAAGAAUGAGUUUGGAAGUCAAACUCGCAUGCACUUAUAAAUUUCUAGGCCUAACGUUCACUACAAAAAAAAUAUUUUAUUUUAUUUUUAUCUCGAUUAGUCAGAGAUUAAUAAAAGCCUUAGGAACCAUGGUGAUUGCAAUUAAUUUUAAACCUCAGGAAAAAUUUCUUAGUUUUUGGGACGAAAAUUUGGGACUGCUAAUAUACUUGGACUAGAUGGCAGGCCAGGGAAGGCUUAGGUUCUAUCCAAAUAAAUGACUGAAGAUAACUCACCUCACAUAUGACUGCUCCAUCCACAAAUUUGCAAGGUAUAUCUUCCAAAAUGUCAGUAGGAAGUCUGCCAGCCUCAAUAGCCUAUAAAAAGCAACCAGAGGAAGUAAAAACACUUACCCAGUAGAAUGAGAACUUGAAAAUGUAUUUAACGAGAGCAAGUAGGGCGGCGAGAUCAAAGUAGAGAAAAUAAACAUCAACCUCACUUAUUCUAAUUUACUACAGAAAUUAGCAUUCAGUGGCAUAACAUACCAACUGUUAGUGUUACAACUCCAAAAUAAAUUUUUGGAAACCGACGGGGCCAUAAUAGAGACUUGAGAAACUUUUGGAGCAAAACCUCAGCUCAACACUAAGAAUACAGAUCUAGUGGCUCCAUUCAACAAUAAAAAUACAAAAAAUAUUAUUUUCAAAAGUACUUUGAAGUCAUUCACCGAAAGAGUAAGCAAGAUUUUCGAAUCAGGUAAAAAUAAUACUCUUCUUAAUUCAUACAUGUGAAAUACUUACUGAAAGUAGAGUCUCUGCUGCCCUACCAUACGGAUGUAAGGCCUUUGGAGCAUCUCGAAAAGAUGUCUGUUGCGCAACCUGGUUCUCAGAAACCAACAAAAUUGUUAGAUCGCUCGCUUAUGUAACCAUAAGAAAGGAAAGAUGGAGUCGAGAGUCAAUAAAAAAAAGUAUCAAUCGCCAGGUAUCUGGUUAGAGCAGAAAACCGACCUUGCAUCACACGCUCCAUCCGAAGGAAGUUUAUGACUCUUGUCUUGCAAGUAUUCAUGCUGCCACCAAGAAUAGAUUUUGACAAGGCUUUCUCUUCGUCUUUGAAGUCCUCGUUGUUAGACAAGCCCGAAAAACAAACCAUCAGACGCUGAGGAACGUAAGAGCGAGGUCUUCGCGAGUACUCAUCCACCUUAUGCUUUUUGCAGUUUAGUUGGUACCUAGAAAUAGACAAAAAAAAGUUCAUAACAUACGGCAUUAAAAACUUGUUCAUUCAGUAACAGUUCUUAAUUUAUAUGGAUGUAUGUAAUGAGAUAAGGAUGGUGGGACAAUGCCGACAAUGGUCUAAUGUAAAGCCAAAAUCAGAAGGAAAAGUAUGAUUAUAAAAGGCUAUUAUUUCUAUUACUUGUUUCUCAAUCAUAGCUGGCAUAUAGUUCAAAGCAAACCACUAGCCACAUGAAGAAGAAUUUAAUGGGUAUAACCUCAACAAAACAGGUUUGAAAAGAUUCAUACCUUGCAGCAACUCGUUCAAUCUUUGAGAAUCUGUCGAGGAUUGCGUGAUCGCCAGUAGUUUGGUUUCCCACUGGAGGACCAACAGCAUUGGCACUCACAGUAUUGACACUAACAGGAGAACCAACAGUGUUUAUAGCUUGUGUCAUAGGAUGAGAAUUUGUCCUCCGUUUUGCAACCAUUUGGUGUUGCCUUUGCUGCAUAGCAUCAUUAGGACUAGAACCCACUGACUGAGUAGCACCAAUAGCAGGAAUAGAAGUAACAGCCUUGUCCUUUUGAGCUGCUGCAACUGCUCCAUAGUGGUUUCCCAUUGAACCACCAGAAAACUCACCAGACUUCGAUGAAAGUGGCGACUGUGGCUGAGCGCCUGCUGAUAAACGAGGACUUUGAGCCGAUAUCCUUCUACUGAACUGUUCUUCUUUUCUCAGAUCUUUUUCAAUCUUCUGGCCUGGGUUCACGUUCCAGGAUGCUUGAGAGAAAUUCGAUCUUAACAAUCCAUUAUGGGGCAUCCUUGACUGCAUACGCGGAUCCACAUUAUUUGCAUCGCUUCCCACCCCAGGCAUAUCAUUUCUGACACUACCAUCAAUUUUACUCUCAAAUGGCUCCUCUUUCGAAGUGUAACGCAAUGUCCCCUGUUGUGAAGCUGGAAACUGCAUGGGACCACCUUCCUGAUUCAUUACUCCUUCAAUUUGCUGUGGUGAAAACCUCUGAAGACUUGGAUUUGGAUAUUGACUACUUCUGCCUAGUAUAUCUUGUUGUAGAACCGCAUUUUUCCAAUUUGUAUCGGUUCCCUGAAUGCCAUCCAUGCGUUGCCCCGGCUGUUGCUGUGGAACCCCAUGAGGACCCAUGUGUGAAACCCUUGUCCGCUUAUUCGAACCAGGCAUAGAAGACUCUUGCGCUUCUUGACUUUGUCUCUUUCUUUGGAAAGAUGCACCUGGGUUCAUACUAUCAGAGCCAUAAGGCAACAUUGCAUCUAAACCUCCAGAGACACUGGCAGAAUUUGAUCCUUGAUCUUGCACGUUUCUAAUAUGUCCAGUUCCCAGGUACCUUUGUUGCUGAGGUGCUACCAAAGGCAGUGAGGAAGUUGACGCAUCUUGCAAGGUCUGAUUUCUUAAUCCCACCAGCAUAUUAGUACCCGGAUUUUGAAUAGCCUGGUUGUUAUGGGUUUGAUGCAUUAACAAAUGUCCGGGCAUAUUUACACGCUCUGAACUUUCCGGAAGCCGAUCAAUGCAAACCUUUUUCCCAUGACUCUUGUUCAGAAACAUGACAGUCGCUUCUGUCAUUUGCAUCAGUCUCUUUCUCCGCAAAGUAGAAAGAGACAAAUCAAGCUAUGGAGCAUAAACAAAACCUUUUUAGACAUUAUAAAAGCAAAUGAUAAGGGAAAGCACACGUAGAAAUUUUAAUGAGCUAUUACCUUGGCGGUCUCAGGUUUUUUACUCAGCCUAUCAAGUCUGGGUACAGGAUCCAAACAAAGUUCAGGUUGUAUGGCUUUUAAUAUUCUUGAUUCCACUUCCUACAGUUAAUGAAAGGAUUAGUACAGAAAAGUUUCAGUGCUCAGAUAUUCGACUUGUAAUCCAAGAGUGACCGUGGUUACCAUGAGAUCACCAUAUGUCCAUGAGCUGUCCGACAUUGAUGGAAUAUCUUUUACCACAUUUUCAAGUGACAUCUUAAGGCGUACUUUAUUUAUCACAGGAGAGGCUUGCUCUGGGGUACGUUUCCGAUAGUCAUGCACCUACAAUAUCAUGUACCCAAAUGUUUUUUUUUUAAAACAUAAUUUUAUGUAAGAUGACACUUCAGCAAUGGAACAGAGAUAUGAUAAAACUCAUUUUAUGUUUUCUUCUGAUUCCAAUUACUCCAGCGUGUUUCCAAAGCUCAUAUUAAACAUAAUAGGAGCAAUCAACAGACAAUCAAAUAGCUGAUCUGCCUCGAAAGGAAAAAAGAAGAAGGAAAGAAUGAGUUUGGAAGUCAAACUCGCAUGCACUUAUAAAUUUCUAGGCCUAACGUUCACUACAAAAAAAAUAUUUUAUUUUAUUUUUAUCUCGAUUAGUCAGAGAUUAAUAAAAGCCUUAGGAACCAUGGUGAUUGCAAUUAAUUUUAAACCUCAGGAAAAAUUUCUUAGUUUUUGGGACGAAAAUUUGGGACUGCUAAUAUACUUGGACUAGAUGGCAGGCCAGGGAAGGCUUAGGUUCUAUCCAAAUAAAUGACUGAAGAUAACUCACCUCACAUAUGACUGCUCCAUCCACAAAUUUGCAAGGUAUAUCUUCCAAAAUGUCAGUAGGAAGUCUGCCAGCCUCAAUAGCCUAUAAAAAGCAACCAGAGGAAGUAAAAACACUUACCCAGUAGAAUGAGAACUUGAAAAUGUAUUUAACGAGAGCAAGUAGGGCGGCGAGAUCAUGUGGUGUUAAAGCACCAGAUCGGAGUUGCUGGCUUAUAACAUUCAAAUUUGACGCUGGAUGAUUCAUUGGGUUCUGCCCCAUGUUAUUGAUGCCAGGAAGAGACAUUGACGAUGUGAUUCCGGUUCCUCCAAGCCCUCUUCCCGCCAUAUUCAUUUGGUUGCCAAAAGCCCCAAGCGCAGCAAUACUGUUGCCCAUGCUUCCCAUUCCCAUAUUCAUGGCUACACCUGACCCCUGUUGCCCCAUCAUCAUCUUCCUCUGAAUCGCCGCGUGGUGCUGUAACAUCUGCAGUUGAUGAGGCGAAUGGUUGUUGGUCAUCUGACCACCCAGCGCCAUGCCAGAGCUCUGGCUCAUCGAGUUGAUCGCUGAUAGAGGAUUUGUAGGCAACAUCAUAGAUGCCGCUCUCUGCAUUUGUGGAUGCUGCUGCUGUGUAAACAUGGACUGUUGAUUUCUCUGUUGUAGCUGUGAUAGCGGAGACUGUUGUGGGUCAUGCUGUUGUGGUUGCAUAGGCAUGGAGACACCAGACAACAGUCCUUGAGACAUUUGCAAAGCCUGAGAAUUUGUCGGAGGGAGCAUCCUUGCAUUUGCAAGAACAUUCUGGGUUGAGUUCAUAGGUGCACUUCCAGCAUUCCCUUGUUUCGAUGCCUCAUUGGGCGCUUGUCCAGUAACUGCAUCCCCAUACUGUUGCAUUUCAUUUGCAGAGUUACCUCUUGGAACACCACCCGCAGAAUUCUGUUGACUGCUGCUUGGACCAGCA
rnacentral:lncRNA from 1 species